UUACUAUUUGAUCUUAUUAAAAUUAUAUUUUCCACAUCUUUGAUGAAGAACUACGCGCUCAAAUCGCUGACAAGAUUUGAAUUCAUUUUCAAUUUUGUUACAGUCUGAAAUUCGAAGGUAUUGACCGAAAUCUAUAUAUUUUUAUAGUUUCAGCAAAAGAAAACUUAGUUAUCUAAAAUUUUAAAUUUUUUGAUUUUUAUGCCACAUCGUUUGAUUGGCGUUUUUGGUGAAUUGAAACAUCUUAGUAACCUUUUUUUAAUCAAAUGUGAUAGCGAUAGUAAUGGUGAGUGAACUCGCUUUUUAAGUUUUUACUCGUUCUUUUUGCGAUUGACUGAUUGCAAUUAAUUACAAAUGAGCUAUCAUUUGAUCGAUAAUUUUUGGGCGUUGGAUAGUGAACUAGUACUGUGAAGGAUAGUUUGAAAUCUUUGAUGUUUUUUUAAUUGUUUUUUUUUUAAACAGUUUGCUUUUUGCAUUACGAACCAACGAGUUUCAAAUAUUAGCAAGCUUAAAACUAAAAGCGUAAUACAUUUUUUAAGUUAUUAUUUGAAAACACGAACUCGAGUGAGCUAUUUAUGAUCAGGUUGAAAUUUAAUUAGAGUAUUUUAUAAGAAGACCGAACCAGUGUUUGUUGCAAAAAACUUGGAUGAAUUGUAAAUUGGAAUGAAAGGUUAAUCAAACUCGACCAUUGCUUGUUUUUCACGAAAGCACUUUUAGGUGGCAGCUGAUAUAAAAAAAGGUAAAUCACUUGUUAAAUUCGGGUUGCUCAAAAGCAUUACUAACUUUUACAAAAAUAAGAAGUUUUAUUCAGCUUUUAAACUUAGAAUGACAAAAUUCUAUGUUGAGAGAGAAACAACUCUGAACGAUUAUUAAAGUUUUAAAAUACGUUUUAAAUGGAAAGAUCGUUUUCCAAGUUUGGUAAUUUGUUAGUUGGCUUAGAAUCAGCCAUCUUUUUCGAAAAACGUAACAGUUUACUUACUGAUUUAUUGGAUUGCGUCAAAAAUUUUUAGAAUCUAAAAACUUAACUGAAAUAUCGUAAAUUGGUUUUUUAAACCGGUUUAGUAGUGAAACGGGUUGUAUAUUUUUGUGGUUUACACUACUAAAAUAGAUUUUUUGAAAUAAUUAUUAGUUUUUAACUAAUCAUCAAUCUUGCAAAUGUUGGUAUGAGUAGUUCAAGCUUUCUAAAAAGCUUUAUUAGUUAUUCACGAUUUUCUUUCGUGCUUUUGCCGAAUUUUACAAUCGAUUUCUGAAUUAAACACGAAAGUGUUUUUUGAUGAGAUUGCACUGUUCAAACUAAAAAAAGUUAACAACUAUGCUGUUUGAGUUUUUAUUAGUUGUGAUCUUUUUUUUUGAAAAAAAAGUGUCAAAAUCGUAUCAAAUCCAAAUCAGGUGAAUAAGUUUAAUAUAACUUCAAUAAUUGAAAUAAUAAAAAAGAUGGAACUCGGCAAAAUUUUACAUUAACUUUGGAAUAUUGUAAUUUGUUUUUUCAAAUAAAAAACAAACAAUGCUAAUUGGAAUGAGCGACUGUUUAUUAAAAACUCACAAGAUUAAGCAAAUUUUUUAAAAAGCAUUUGAUCUGAUUGGUGCUAAAUGCUAAAACUUAAACUCAAGUUUUUUUUUCAAAAUUUGAAUAAAUGUUUAGCUAAUAGCUGCAUUAUCUUGAGUGUAGUAAUGUAGCGAAAUUCCUUGUCAACUAAUUAUUGACCCGCAUGAAUCCAACAACGACUCGUUUACUGUCAUCUUUUUUAAUUUUGCGAAAUUAAAACUUUGGUGCAGAUUCCAAAAAUAAUUUUGAAGACGAAAAGACCCUUUGCAUCUUCACUUGAUUUACUAAUUGUUGAAAAUAAAAAUCGUAGUCAGUCAAUAUAUGAAUCUUUGAUGUUUUUCAAGUUUUUGAAAAAUUGAGAUCAAACUGAGAUUUUAUAUGCGUUUUUGUUUUUAACUAACCUUUUGGAACAGUUAGUGAUUUUUAGUUUGACUGGGAUGGUUACCUUUCAAAUAGUAGCAAAGGUGUGCAUUUGGUAAACUUUUUUGAAACAUUUCAAUUUUUAUCACAAAAGAUAAUACGUUUGCUAUUUUACAAAAACUGAUAAGUUACGUAAUGAAGAAAUUCAGCUUUAGUGAACCAAGUAUUUUGAAUGGUAAAAUACUUGAUUAUCAAAUAAAAGAUACGCAAGGGAUAACAGUAUUAUAAAAAUUUAGAGCUCAUAUCUAUGUUUUUGUUUGUCACCUCGAUGUCGAUUCGUUUUUACCUUCAGCUGAAGCUGGUUGAAGGGGUUUGGUUGUUCGCCAAUUAAAAAAGCACGCGAAUUGGGUUUAGAACGAUGUAAAUCAGUUUGGUUUCUAUCUCAAAAUUUCAGUAAGUCAACAUGUUUUUUUUUAGUAUGAAAAGACUGAAAAAAUAAAGCCAAUAGUUUACUUUUGUAGUUUCAACUGCAUUGUUGUUAAGCCACGCUUUUUUUAGUUAAAGUUGAAUGCAUUUAAAUUUGAAAUAAAAUGUUAAACUUACAUUCAAACGAAGUUAAUCUUUGUUAGCUGCUUGUUUUUUUAUCAAAACGUUGUUCGCUAGUUAUUUGUACCUCGUUAGAGUGAGAUAAACUAUUCGAAACUUAGCAUUUUUUUUAGUUUAUUUUUUU
rnacentral:rRNA from 1 species